GUGUAUGUCAUCGUGCAGCCAGGACAACUACUCAGAUUUAAGACGUUAACCUCUUACAUACAGACAAUACUUAAACCAGCAUGGUGGGCUUUAUAGGAACACAUUUUCAAAGAAAAUGACUUCUAGCUUGAAGACAGCAAAGACAGAUUAGUGCUCACAGACAGAUCAGUGCUUACCGCCACCUCUGGUGAAAGUUACCGCACGCCACUGUCCAAAGGCAUCCACUCUUCAGGGUGCUCCUCCUACUACUUCCACAAAAGCUCUACCU